GGGGUUGUGGCUCAGUGGUAGAGCGCUCGCCUCUCAUGUGCGAGACCCUGGGUUUGAUCCUCAGCACCACA
rnacentral:tRNA from 1 species